rnacentral:rRNA from 1 species
CUACAAUGGCGCAUACAAAGAGAAGCGACCUCGCGAGAGCAAGCGGACCUCAUAAAGUGCGUCGUAGUCCGGAUUGGAGUCUGCAACUCGACUCCAUGAAGUCGGAAUCGCUAGUAAUCGUGGAUUAUACCAUGCCAGCUGGUCAUCAUGGUUGAUAACAAUGUGCAGCAGGAGGCUAAUAACAAGGCGGUGACCAUCACCGGUUUACGGCCUAU